UUGAGCCUCUUUCCCAUUGUCGUAAAGUUGCAUCUCUUUCUCUUUUCUACAAAUUCUAUCAUGGUGGCUGCUCAAAAGAGUUUUUAUCUCUAGUUCCAUUAAUAAAAACUCAUUCUCGCUUGACUCUUUAUUAUGCUAAGUCUCAUUCAUUAGUUAUUAAAUUUUAUUAAAUAUAAUAAAUGUAAAUAAAUAAUGUUUAUUGAGUCAAUAUACUAAAAACAAUAAAGAUAAAAUUGAGGAAGAUAAAAUUAUCAAAGAAGUUUUUAUACAGGACUGCUUCAACCGUGUUAACCUGUUAACCGUGUUAAUAUACCAAAACAAAAAUUAAUUCAGUAAAUUUCAGUAUUUAUUGUCCUAUUUAAAUCAAAAAUUAAAUAAGAAUUAAGAUAUUGCCAUUAAAGUUAAAUUUAGUAACUUAAACAAUGAAUUUUUGAAUAUUUCCCAAAAAAAACCAAAAAAAUGGACCCCUAUGUUUUUUUUCCAAAAAAACGACCAAAAAAACCAAAAAAACAAGAACCAAAAAAACGCGUCACAUCUCUAGUUGGACUAAAAGUCAUUGGACUUCAAAUGGAACAGCAAUUAGACAAUUUCAACAGGUUUCAAAACCUACAAAGUCUCCAUAUAUUAUGGAUUUAAUAUCUAAAGCUGAACCAGUGCUUCCAGAAGAGCAGCUUCUUCUUGAAGUUGAGGUUAUAUUUUUAGUUUAUUUAUUAUUUUAAUUUGGACAGCAAUAUGAUUAGCAAUAUUUUAAAUAAGUAAGUGAUUGGAGUUGAUAUUUGACCGGGGCCAGGUUUGAUAAAACAUAGCCAGAGCUGCAUUUAUAUUGAUAAAUCCUAUAAGUAUAUUAUUUUUAGGUAAAAUUUAUGUUGAGCUCCAAAAAACUUCAGGGACGAAGGAGGGAGCAGGAGCUUGGAGAGGACAUUUGAGCUUGAAAAAGAUCUCUCCUCUAAUACAGCUUAAGGACUCUCAGUGGCUGGUAAUGGCUAGUAACCCCUGUAAAUUUUGUUUGUUUAGUUGAGGCAGGGUUUGUAAAAAGCUCUAUUUUUAGCAGAGGCCCGGUCACUUACUACUUCAAAUAUUUUACUAAUUAUUAUACCCUUUUUUUUUUACUAAUUUUUUUUUCUACAAUCAAAAAUACAUUACAAAUAAAGUUGUUUUAUGUAUAAUAUAUAAAGAAAUUUUAUAAAGUGUGUUAUACAAACCUUAGCACCAUGCAUCAUAGCAUGUUAUUUUAUACAAUUUUAUAAUAAAUAAUUUUUAGUUGGCCAAUUGAUUAUGUGCACCAUUAUUGUUUUAGAAUUUACGGUAUUUUAAUUUUUAUAUUUUAUAGAAUGAACAACUAAAAUCAAAACCAUCUAUCAAUAUUCUUGCGAUUUUGAAUAGAAAUCUUUUUCAACCGAAAAUAUAUGUUUAAUAUUUGCGGAGUUUAAACGCCUUUACCCACACUAUAGUUUUAUAGAAGAAUCAUGUUCAUUUUUUAUUACUAAAGCUUUUGCAGGAUCUUCUAAUCACCUUGAAAGUUUGCUUGUUUUACAAUGUAAAUUAGGUUCCAAAAAAGCAAAGGAUUUGUUGUUUAAGAAAUCUGAAUCUGACGAUCUGGUCGAUGAGUUGAAGAUACCUGCAAAGUACGGUCCACAAGUUCUUUUCAACUCAACACAAUAUGGCGUUCACAGUAGAUCAGGAUGCGAAAUGAUUAGCACAGAUUUACGGAAAAUCAAAGAGGUUUUAUGCGUUAUUGUUAGCAUUUACUAUUUGUUAGAUCUAUCGUAUCCAUCUUCUUUUU